rnacentral:rRNA from 1 species
UACGAAGGGGGCUAGCGUUGUUCGGAAUUACUGGGCGUAAAGCGCGCGCAGGCGGCUAUCCAAGUCAGUGGUGAAAGCCCGGAGCUCAACUCCGGAACUGCCAUUGAAACUGUUUAGCUUGAGGACGAGAGAGGUGAGUGGAAUUCCCAGUGUAGAGGUGAAAUUCGUAGAUAUUGGGAAGAACACCAGUGGCGAAGGCGGCUCACUGGCUCGUUUCUGACGCUCAGGCGCGAUAGCGUGGGGAUCAAACAGG